rnacentral:ncRNA from 1 species
CUCUAAGUCAGAAUCCCGCCCAGGCGGAACCAUAGGGUAGUGCCACAGGAGCCUCGGUUGGCCUCGGAUAGCCGGUUCCCCGCCUAACCCACUGCGCAUAGGGACCGGGGUCUGGUGUGGAGUGCCCUUGGUUCUGGAAACCUGGUGCAGCAGGAAAGGGGGCCGCCCCCACGCUCUUCACGCAACACACAUUCCUGGGGAACCUGGCGCUACACCAUUCGUAGAUGACCUGCUUCUGUGUCGGGGUUUCGGACGUAGCAGAGCAGCUCCCUUGCUGCGAUCUAUUGAAAGUCAGCCCUGGACACAAGGGUUUGU